AGAGUUUGAUCCUGGCUCAGAACGAACACUGGCGGCGUGGAUUAGGCAUGCAAGUCGAACGGGAAAGCUCCCUUCGGGGAGUGAGUAGAGUGGCGAACGGGUGAGUAACGCGUGGGAAACCUACCUCUCGGUGGGGGAUAACAGUCCUAACGGGCUGCUAAUACCGCAUACGACCUCGCAAUUGCAUGAUUGUGAGAUGAAAGGCGGCCUCUACAUGUAAGCUGCCGCUGAGAGAUGGUCCCGCGUCCCAUUAGCUUGUUGGUGGGGUAACGGCCUACCAAGGCUACGAUGGGUAGCCGGCCUGAGAGGGUGUCCGGCCACACUGGGACUGAGAUACGGCCCAGACUCCUACGGGAGGCAGCAGUCGAGAAGCUUCGGCAAUGGGCGAAAGCCUGACCGAGCGACGCCGCGUGAGCGAUGAAGGCCCUAUGGGUUGUAAAGCUCUGUCAGAUCGGGAAGAAAACUCCGGAAUCAAUACCUCCGGAGGGGGA
rnacentral:rRNA from 1 species